rnacentral:rRNA from 1 species
UAGUUCGUGGAGUGAUCUGUCUGCUUAAUUGCGUUUCAAAAUUUAACUUGAGGACCGGGUUUUGGUUUGGCUAGUGGUUCUACGAUGACUGUGAACUGUCAUGUCUUCGGAUGUGCGACUAUUGGUCUAGGAUCACAUGACUUGCCCCUGGGACUCUUUUGAACGCAACGGACGUGAUUGCAACCCCUUGUUGAGAUUAGAGAUAGUCUCGAUAUUCACUGGACAAACUGGCUGCUUUAUGCAGUCUUGUUGAAUGGUGGAUAAACUCGGGGGACUGCUGACUAUAACCAUUUCUCAAAACAGAGGAAGGUUGCGGCAAUAACAGGUCUGUGAUGCCCUCAGAUGUCCCGGGCUGCACACGUGCUACAAUGAGUGGCGCAAUGUGCUAAUGUUUAAGGGAUAAGAGUGUGGUCAGUAGAACGUCGGGAUUUCCCCUGACGUCUCCCCCGCACGAUUAUCAGCCUUCCCUUAACAGGGCGGGCAACCUUUUCAAAAUACUGGUUUGAUGUUAAAGUAUUGAGUCGUUUUUUUUGGAUGGUGGUUUGUUAACCAAUACCAUCCGGCAACUGCUCGCGAGUUUGUGGUUCUGGCGACUCAUGGUG